CAUGCGGCUUAAUUCGACGGCAACGCGAAGAACCUUACCAAGGCUUGACAUGUACCGAAAAGCAGCAGAGAUGUUGUGUCCGCAAGGGCGGUAUACAGGUGGUGCAUGGUUGUCGUCAGCUCGUGUCGUGAGAUGUUGGGUUAAGUCCCGCAACGAGCGCAACCCUCGUUCUGUGUUGCCAGCAUUUAGUUGGGGACUCACAGGAGACUGCCGUGGUUAACACGGAGGAAGGUGGGGAUGACGUCAAAUCAUCAUGCCCCUUAUGUCUUGGGCUGCACGCAUGCUACAAUGGCAGGUACAAAGGGCUGCAAUACCGUAAGGUGGAGCGAAUCCCAAAAAGUCUGUCUCAGUUCGGAUUGAGGUCUGCAACUCGACCUCAUGAAGUCGGAGUUGCUAGUAAUCGUAGAUCAGCAACGCUACGGUGAAUACGUUCCCGGGGCUUGUACACACCGCCCGUCACGUCACGAAAGUC
rnacentral:rRNA from 1 species